GUUAAUAGCUCAGUGGUAGAGCAAAUGCUUUGCAUGCGAAAGGUCCCAGGUUCAAUCCUUGGCAUCUCCA